rnacentral:tRNA from 1 species
AAAUAGAAGCUCAAAACCUCUCACAAGCA